UUGAUCGAACAAUGAACAUUUCAGGUGGGCAAAGAUUGCCCUCCGUUGUUUCCCUAAAAAUUUUCAGGUGGGCAUGCUAGGAAAUUGAAGCCGUACUAGAGUGGCAGUUCUAGAGACCAGGAGAUUCAUGGCGCAUCAAAUCAGAGUCACACAAUCAAAGAUAAUCAUUGAAUAAUGGCAAAUCAAGUACUUCAACAAGCAUUUGAAGAUAUGGGGUUACAUAUGGAUCUUAAAGUUUUCUGGAUGAUUCUUUAUGUUACAUUCAAAUCAUGUCAACUAAAAUGCAGUGGAACAGUAAAUUGACAUUUUCCACAGUUUGCCUUUUUUGUGUCAGAUAUUUGUUGACCAAGUUGGUUUUUUUUUUUUUUUGGUUCAGAUAAACUCCAGCCGACAAGGAAGAUCCAGGAACCUGAAAUAUACUUUAGGGAACAUAACAGCUGUUACCAAUGCUCGAGCCUGAAAGUGAUCCAAAUCUCUCCAGUUUUUUCCUUAGAGGACACAAGGUGGUCAAUACACCAAUGUUUCCUACCAAAUUCCUCUACCUCAAGCACCUGACUGACACCUGACUGACCAUUCAUUUGAUAUCAGGAGUGACCUUUUCCCCCUCCUAUGAUUAUGUUUCUCUGGUUUCUUUCCUUGACGCGUCUGCUUCCUUGGAGACUUUGAUCUUGAAUGUGACUCAGCGACGUAUGGAGCAUGAAUCGAUUUUGGCAGAUUCACAUUUGAGGCAAAUGCCUGAACACCGCCAUGGCUACCUCAAGAGUGUGAAGAUCAGUGGUUUCAGCUCUGCGAAGAACUUGGUUGAACUAUGACAUGUUAUAUUCUCCAGAGUGUGAAGUCACUCGAGUGUUAUCUAAAAACAUUGGACACCAUUUAUGGUGAUCUUAGGUGUUGUCUAAAAACUUUUAGAAGGUGCGAUGCCAAAGUGGAUGGUGUUCUCAUGAGGAUAAAUACAUUCUGGAUAAGGUUCCAAAUC